rnacentral:rRNA from 1 species
GACGAACGCUGGCGGCGUGCUUAACACAUGCAAGUCGAACGGAAAGGCCCUGCUUUUGUGGGGUGCUCGAGUGGCGAACGGGAGAGUAGCACGUGAGUAACCUGCCCUUGACUUUGGGAUAACUUCAGGAAACUGGGGCUAAUACCGGAUAGGAGCUCCUGCUGCAUGGUGGGGGUUGGAAAGUUUCGGCGGUUGGGGAUGGACUCGCGGCUUAUCAGCUUGUUGGUGGGGUAGUGGCUUACCAAGGCUUUGACGGGUAGCCGGCCUGAGAGGGUGACCGGCCACAUUGGGACUGAGAUACGGCCCAGACUCCUACGGGAGGCAGCAGUGGGGAAUAUUGCACAAUGGGCGGAAGCCUGAUGCAGCAACGCCGCGUGCGGGAUGACGGCCUUCGGGUUGUAAACCGCUUUCGCCUGUGACGAAGCGUGAGUGACGGUAAUGGGUAAAGAAGCACCGGCUAACUACGUG